AUUGAACGCUGGCGGCAGGCUUAACACAUGCAAGUCGAGCGGAGAGAGGUAGCUUGCUACUGAUCUUAGCGGCGGACGGGUGAGUAAUGCUUAGGAAUCUGCCUAUUAGUGGGGGACAACAUUUCGAAAGGAAUGCUAAUACCGCAUACGUCCUACGGGAGAAAGCAGGGGAUCUUCGGACCUUGCGCUAAUAGAUGAGCCUAAGUCGGAUUAGCUAGUUGGUGGGGUAAAGGCCUACCAAGGCGACGAUCUGUAGCGGGUCUGAGAGGAUGAUCCGCCACACUGGGACUGAGACACGGCCCAGACUCCUACGGGAGGCAGCAGUGGGGAAUAUUGGACAAUGGGCGGAAGCCUGAUCCAGCCAUGCCGCGUGUGUGAAGAAGGCCUUAUGGUUGUAAAGCACUUUAAGCGAGGAGGAGGCUACUUUAGUUAAUACCUAGAGAUAGUGGACGUUACUCGCAGAAUAAGCACCGGCUAACUCUGUGCCAGCAGCCGCCGCAGUAA
rnacentral:rRNA from 1 species